rnacentral:rRNA from 1 species
CCUACGGGUGGCUGCAGUGGGGAAUAUUGGACAAUGGGCGCAAGCCUGAUCCAGCCAUGCCGCGUGAGUGAUGAAGGCCUUAGGGUUGUAAAGCUCUUUCACCCACGACGAUAAUGACGGUAGUGGGAGAAGAAGCCCCGGCUAACUUCGUGCCAGCAGCCGCGGUAAUACGAAGGGGGCUAGCGUUGUUCGGAUUUACUGGGCGUAAAGCGUACGUAGGCGGACCGUUAAGUCGGAGGUGAAAUCCUGGGGCUCAACCCCAGAACUGCCUUCGAUACUGGCGGUCUCGAGUCCGGGAGAGGUGAGUGGAACUGCCAGUGUAGAGGUGAAAUUCGUAGAUAUUGGCAAGAACACCAGUGGCGAAGGCGGCUCACUGGCCCGGUACUGACGCUGAGGUACGAAAGCGUGGGGAGCAAACAGGAUUAGAUACCCGAGUAGUC